CCUACGGGAGGCUGCAGUGGGGAAUUUUGGACAAUGGGGGCAACCCUGAUCCAGCCAUUCCGCGUGAGUGAAGAAGGCCUUCGGGUUGUAAAGCUCUUUUGUCCGGAGCGAAACGGGCGGCCCUAAUACGGUCGUCUACUGACGGUACCGGAAGAAUAAGCACCGGCUAACUACGUGCCAGCAGCCGCGGUAAUACGUAGGGUGCGAGCGUUACUCGAAGUUACUGGAGGCGAAGCUUUCGCAGGCGGGUGAAAUCCCCGGGCUCAACCUGGGAAUGGCAUUUGGGACUGCAAGGCUGGAGUGUGGCAGAGGGGACUAGAAUUCCUGGUGUAGCAGUGAAAUGCGUAGAUAUCAGGAGGAAUACCGAUGGCGAAGGCAGGUCCCUGGGUUAACACUGACGCUCAUGCACGAAAGCGUGGGGAGCAAACAGGAUUAGAUACCCGGGUAGUC
rnacentral:rRNA from 1 species